GAGGAAUAUUGGUCAAUGGACGAGAGUCUGAACCAGCCAAGUAGCGUGAAGGAUGACUGCCCUAUGGGUUGUAAACUUCUUUUAUACGGGAAUAAAGUGAGGCACGUGUGCCUUUUUGUAUGUACCGUAUGAAUAAGGAUCGGCUAACUCCGUGCCAGCAGCCGCGGUAAUACGGAGGAUCCGAGCGUUAUCCGGAUUUAUUGGGUUUAAAGGGAGCGUAGGCGGACGCUUAAGUCAGUUGUGAAAGUUUGCGGCUCAACCGUAAAAUUGCAGUUGAUACUGGGUGUCUUGAGUACAGUAGAGGCAGGCGGAAUUCGUGGUGUAGCGGUGAAAUGCUUAGAUAUCACGAAGAACUCCGAUUGCGAAGGCAGCUUGCUGGACUGUAACUGACGCUGAUGCUCGAAAGUGUGGGUAUCAAACAGGAUUAGAUACCCUGGUAGUCCACACAGUAAACGAUGAAUACUCGCUGUUGGCGAUAUACGGUCAGCGGCCAAGCGAAAGCAUUAAGUAUUCCACCUGGGGAGUACGCCGGCAACGGUGAAACUCAAAGGAAUUGACGGGGGCCCGCACAAGCGGAGGAACAUGUGGUUUAAUUCGAUGAUACGCGAGGAACCUUACCCGGGCUUAAAUUGCAACUGACUGAACCGGAAACGGUUCCUUCUUCGGACAGUUGUGAAGGUGCUGCAUGGUUGUCGUCAGCUCGUGCCGUGAGGUGUCGGCUUAAGUGCCAUAACGAGCGCAACCCUUAUCGAUAGUUACUAGCAGGUCAUGCUGAGGACUCUAUUGAGACUGCCGUCGUAAGAUGUGAGGAAGGUGGGGAUGACGUCAAAUCAGCACGGCCCUUACGUCCGGGGCUACACACGUGUUACAAUGGGGGGUACAGAAGGCAGCUACACGGCGACGUGGUGCUAAUCCCGAAAGCCUCUCUCAGUUCGGAUUGGAGUCUGCAACCCGACUCCAUGAAGCUGGAUUCGCUAGUAAUCGCGCAUCAGCCACGGCGCGGUGAAUACGUUCCCG
rnacentral:rRNA from 1 species